ensembl:snRNA U2 U2 spliceosomal RNA
AUCGCUUCUCGGCCUUUUGGCUAAGAUCAAGUGUAGUAUCAGUAAUUUAAUUUUCUAUUUAUCCACUGCUACCAAACGAUAUCCGCAGAAUGCUUUCAAGUAACUCAAUUUCUUUAUUCCUUAAGCUAAAGCAA